rnacentral:rRNA from 1 species
UACGUAGGGUGCGAGCGUUGUCCGGAAUUAUUGGGCGUAAAGGGCUCGUAGGCGGUUUGUCGCGUCGGGAGUGAAGACCUACAGCUUAACUGUGGGCUUGCUUUCGAUACGGGCAGACUAGAGGUAUGCAGGGGAGAACGGAAUUCCUGGUGUAGCGGUGAAAUGCGCAGAUAUCAGGAGGAACACCGGUGGCGAAGGCGGUUCUCUGGGCAUGAUCUGACGCUGAGGAGCGAAAGUGUGGGGAGCGAACAGG